rnacentral:lncRNA from 1 species
UUGUUUUUGGUCUGCUGGGCCUGUGUCCCCAAAAUCGAUUCUCCCAUAACCAUCAGCUCCGAAACACAUGGAGAAUGAAUUUGAGGUAAGUCCUUGGUCUGCUAAGAAGCUUGGAACUGAUAUCUUUUCCAUGCCAAGCCCAAUAAGACCAUUGGGAGCUGCAGUUGUUGCAAAUAUACCAGUCUGGACCGUACCGCACCUGCCAUGAAGAAUCACAUUUAGGGGCAACAACACAACAAACUGCAGAUGCUUUCUAUAAGAUCAUUAAACACCCUUCUCUUGCAACAAUGAUUAAGUUACAAAGUCAAAAAUAUUUUAUUAUUCCAUCCAUGAUCCAACCUUAAUUGGAAGAAGUUCGAAAUACAUAACCUCUUUGCUACAUCUUUAAUUAAACAUUGUCUAUAGGUUGAACAACUGUGUCCUUAAAAAGUAAAGGAUCUCUUUUCUCUAGACCAAGUUAAGUUACAAAAUCGAAUAUAAUUGCUUAUUGAUUCAUGCUAUCUUAAUUGACAAUGUCAUUACAAGAGUUCAAAUAUAAGACCUCUUUGCUCUAGGCCAUGUUUUUAAAUUGACGAGAAUAAAAACUUAAGCCGAUGGUUAGUGUAAUAAUUAUAUCCCUACUCUACCAUAAACUAUUAUUGAUUCUUAAGCAAAGAAAAAAAGCAAUGUUAGAAGAAAAGAAACAAUCUAUUAAAAACAGAACAAAAUUCAGCACAAGAUAUAAUCUAGAGGAAAAAGAUACAGACAGAAAGAUGAAACAUAAUUAACUCACCCAAAAGUAAUCUUAGCCUCAACAGGUUUGAGUAGUGAAUCAUCAGUGGCCAAGUGCAAUACGUCCUCAACCAAGUAGCCAAUCGAGGAGGUAUUAGCAGACAGGUAUCUCAUUUCAUAAGGACAAACAUUUUGGUUUGAAGUACAUCGGUUGCAC